UCUAUCUUCCCCGAAGCUCUUCCCUCUUUCCCUCUAUCUUCCUUCUUCCUUCUUUUCCCUCUAUCUUUCCUUCUUCCUUCUUUUCCCUCUAUCUUCCCCGAGCUCUAUCUUCCCUUUUUCCCCCUCUUUUCCCUCUAUCUUCCCCAAAGCUCUCUUCUCCGAAGCCCUCUUUCUCUCUCUCACUAUUGUGUCACUACAACAAAUCCCCAUUUCAAUAACACAUCAUUAUAAUAUAUUUAAAAAAGUAUUAUAGUACAUAUAUAUAUAUAAAGUAAAUCAGUAACGCGGCAAAGUGAAAAAAAAAAAAAGCGGCAAAGUGUAAAGUGACUCCACUUUUCAUCUCUUUCUCUCUCUCUCAUUUUCCUUCGUGCUAUACCCAUUUUCCCGUCCCAUUUUCCUUCGUGCUAUACCCAUUUUCCCGUCCCAUUUUCCUUUCUCUUCCUGCUAUACCCAUUUUCCCGUCCCUGGAAAACAAGUAAAGACUCAACCUUAUCUCUAUUUUCCCGUCCCCAUUUUCCUUUCUUGUUGCGCCAUGGGUAGCUCGAAAACACGGUAAAGAUAGCAUUGGGGUUUGGUUGAGCCAUUGCACAUGAAUAUGAAACCACAUUUUUCUUCUUCUUCUUCUUCUUCUUGUGAUUUUUCAUUUUCUUUCUCAUUUUCUUGGGGAGAAGAGUUCCCAAAUCAAAUCCUUGACAUCCCUUUUGUAUAGUAGUCUUUCAUUCAUCCCGCAUGGACGAGGGAUUUGGGGUUCAAUUUUAGUUUGUGAAUUGGUGCUGCCAUUCUCUUCUCUCUCCAACCACAAUUACAGCACUCAAAUCGGUGAUUCAGCGACACAUUUGGUCGCCUUGAGGAUAUGAAGUCGACAGAGUUGGGCUUUCUCCUUGCUUAUGCUGUUGCUUUCUAUGCCUUCAUCAUUCGUAGAUCUCUUCAACUUUCUCGCGGUAAAACCCCCAAACCAUUUAUAAUACGAUUGUUUUAUGUUAGAUUUAAUUCUUUAAGUGCGUGUUACUAGCGAUUCAGUUAUUCUCCUGAGAACACGAUGAGUCGAGGGUUUUCCGUUCAUCAAUUCAGUUCUCCUCCUUCGUUCGUCGAAGUAGAAUCUGUCGUUCUCGAGAAGAAAUGGUGACGGUGACAGUGACCCAAAUCCUGAGGUCCGGUUAUCUUGAAUGUACGGUUUCACAAUUGGGUACCUUUAACAAGAGGAAAAGCCCUUGAUUCUGUAGCAAACUUUCACUUGCAGAAUGGAGCAUUCAUGUUUUAAGGCAUCAGUGGGCAUAUUCCUGUGAGAAGGCCAAAGUAGAGUUGGAUUACAACUCCAGAAGCUUGAAAGAAGGGCUGGAAGAGGUUCUGCCAUAUGUACGAAGCAUUGAUAAUGUUUUCCUCUCUCAACCUGUUAUACUGAAGUCCCAAGAUCAGAAUCAGAAGGUUGGGGAUCGAAUUGGCAAGGAGCAUUGCAAAGUUAAUUUGCAAGAGAGCUCUACUAGGAAGACUUGAGUAUCAAAAGGGUAACAUAGAAGCUGCACUUCAUGUAUUUGAAGGAAUAGACAUUGCUGCAGUGACUCCUCGGAUGAAAGGAUCCAUUUCUAGAAGAUGUGAACAAAAUAGACGCCGUUCACAGAGUGAUUCUGUCCCACCUAUGUCCAUGCAUGCUGUUAGUCUGCUCCUUGAAGCUGUUCUUCUCAAAGCAAAAUCAUUGCAAGGCCUUGGAUGAUAUGAAGAAGUUGCUAAAUCGUGCAAAGUUAUUUUGGACACUGUAGAAUCUGCUCUGCCAGAUGGCUUGCCUGAAAACUUCACUUCAGAUUGUAAAUUACAAGAUACUCUAUCUAGGGCUAUUGAAUCACUACCAGAGUUUUGGAGUUCAGCCAUCAGAAUAAUUUGUGGGUUUUUCACCAGGAAUAUAUGUGAGAAACUGUGAAACUAUAUUUAACAGUUGGAAUGGGAAAUGGAGAGAACGAGCCAAAGCAAGAGUGAGAGUUGGAGGAUGUUAUAGUAAACAAUACUCUCUAAAUUUCUUGUUAUAGUAAUUUUUCAAUAUGUUGAAUAUUUAAGAAUACUUGAAUACUUAAAAGAACAUUUUGUUGUUGAUGACAGUGUUGAAUAUUUUAAACUAAUUUGUGGAUUGUUAAUACAAUAUUGAAUGUUUUUACUUUUUGUUA